AUGUUUAAAGGAGGAGCAGAGCGUGCGGGGGAUACAAAGCAUAUACUUUUGUUGAAACCAUAUCAUUGUUGUACCAAGGCACUGACAUGUACCUCAUUUUCAGGCCAGAUGGCUAGAGGCUAUAAUCUUUUCCCACCAAUUAACACAUGCACCAAUUUUCGACGUGCGUGCAAUGAUUCUUUUGGUAACCAUAUGAGUUUUGUCAACAUUGUCACACGGCUUGUUGCUUUGUACUCCUUCCGUCCCAAAAUAAGUGUCUCCACUUUAGUUCAACUUAUAAGGAGUAUUAUGCAUUGUGGUAUCUCCCUUUUACACCUGCUAAUAAUUGGAGUUGUUGUGUCAAGUAUAGCUUUCAAAUUGCAACCCAGACGAUACGAUUUGCUCGGUUCCUGCAAAUACUUGCUCCUUGUGAGCUGGAACGCAUCAGUGAGAUAUGAUCUCGUCCUUUUUUAUUUGGAACAUCCUCUUCUGUUUCUCAGAAAAACUUCCAGCGUUUCUUAUAUGCUAACUGAUGUUUGA
rnacentral:rRNA from 1 species